GGGCCCGCACAAGCGGUGGAGCAUGUGGUUCAAUUCGACGCAACGCGAAGAACCUUACCUGGGCUCGAAAUGUAGUGGAAUGAGGUGGAAACAUCUCCGUCUCGCAAGAGACUGCUAUAUAGGUGCUGCAUGGCUGUCGUCAGCUCGUGUCGUGAGAUGUUGGGUUAAGUCCCGCAACGAGCGCAACCCUUAUUGCCAGUUGCCAUCAUUUAGUUGGGCACUCUGGCGAAACUGCCCCGGAUAACGGGGAGGAAGGUGGGGAUGACGUCAAGUCCUCAUGGCCUUUAUGUCCAGGGCUACACACGUGCUACAAUGGGUGGUACAAACCGUCGCAAACCCGCGAGGGGGAGCUAAUCGGAAAAAGCCAUCCUCAGUUCGGAUUGGAGUCUGCAACUCGACUCCAUGAAGCUGGAAUCGCUAGUAAUCGCGGAUCAGCACGCCGCGGUGAAUACGUUCCCGGGCCUU
rnacentral:rRNA from 1 species